CCGUGGGUGACUGCGGGUCUGAAGGAAGCGAUAGGAAGAAUGUAGUGCGUAGCGAAAGCGCACCCGAUACGGCAGGUUGCUCGGACGAGCUUGCAAAAAGUGGCGAUGUCCGAUUCAUGAAUAGGAGCAACAAGUGACUGGGGACGUUAUCAGAUUCAGGGAGUCAGC
rnacentral:ncRNA from 1 species